GAGAAACUCACAAUCUAGUUAGGAAUGGUGACAGCGGAGCCAGAGCUGUGCAGCGAGGCAGAGUACAAUGCCUGUCACGAAGGAGUUACAACAGCUCAGCAGAGAGGAGAAGGAAAAUGGAAUUCUGAUUGGUGGGAGUGUCAUGGACCAAGCUUUGUGGAGGAGAUAACUGAAGAGAAAGCUGGAGUCUUGCCUGCAGGUUGAAGCUGAUGGAAGGAGGGAUGAGGAGAGCGAAGAAGGUUCCAGCCAUGUGCAGUGAACGCAGAGGGGAGGGUGCGCCAAGAAACUGCCCUGGGAAAGGCAUGGAGCCAGGGGUGUGCUCCAGAGAAGAAGCCAAGUAAUUAGCAUGGCAGAAGGGGACUGCAACUGGCACAGCCAUGGUUGGUCCUCAAGGAACACGUCCAGUUGUAUGUGAUGCACUGACAGAAGUAACCAUAAGGACGCAGAUGCUGCUGCUUUCUGAGGCUCAGCCAACAGUCACCGUGAGGCUGAGUGGCAGGGACCAGAACCCUGAAGCUCAGGGUAUUUCUCACUAUAUACAUCCCCCUCCUCCCAGCUUUCCAAACCCUCACCAUCUGACUUUGUACUCUUUCAAAUGAAACAGGUUGCAUAUUGCCAAGCUGACGGAGGUUCCCUACCCAGACUAAUAGAGCCCGCCACACAGAAGUAAUUUCUUGUUAAACGUCUAUCCAGUGAAAUCCAGCCACUGCACACAGCAGGCCCGCCUGUGCUGGUCCUGCCAUCCUGCCACCGAGGCGCAAGGGAAUAAAGGAAAAUGCUUAGCAUUAAAUUUCAUGUAAAUCAGACUUUAUUUGCUCUGGUGGCAGGUUAUUACCUUCUGCAGGGAACGAGGGGAGAAACGGCUGCCGCUGGAGACAGAGUUCCCCCAGUGGGCUUCCGUAGCAGCCUGCAGCACACAUGCCUAACUCACCUGCUUUGUCCCUUCCUUCCUUCCUCUCCGCUAGCUUCUCUGUGAAUGGCCAGGGUCUACAGGCUCUUCUUGGCAUAGUAGCUCUGCCUACUCAGCCUUCCUGAUGCUUCAGAGAUGGUCACUAUUUAUGUGGGCUUCCCCACUAAGUCCGUUGGACACUGUUCACCUUGCUUUUGGGCUCAGUCUGUCUCCCACCAAGAACGUUCUAUAUAGCAAUAAACUCAUUCAGGCUCAGCUCA
rnacentral:lncRNA from 1 species